AUGAUUGGUAAGACAGAAAGGGUUGACAUGCCCUUCAUUCGUGCACAAAGGGCUGCGAGGUUGCUGGUCAGUGUUGUGAGUGUUGAGUUCAUACCAGAUGUGGUUAGAUGGACACAUGCUAGAGUCACUUAUGUUUUAGGGCUUGAGAUCGAGGAUACUCCGAUUUCCCAGGAUGGGGAUGAGCCACAGGACAUGGAGAUGACUCAGCGGGGUGGCGUGUCCGGGAAUCAGGAUAAGGGGUCCGAUGAUUCACUGCCGGAGUCGGACAAGGGGCCUACUGCGAAAUCUGAUAAGGUAGACACAUCUACCAAAGAGACACCCCCGUCCACUACUCCGAUGAACACGCUUCGCUUUGGUUCGUUUGCACCGAGUUCGGCUCCUAGUCGGUUAUGGAGCACCAGGGUCGAGGCAGGCGACCCGGCGGAACUUGAGUUGCCACCAGUGUUGAGUAUGGCCUGCGAGGCGUUGUUUGCGGAUUCCACACCCGAUGGGACGGUUGUUUCUGCUGGGUUGACCGAGUGUGGGGGGGGGGGGCGCGGGCAGGAGGCCCCGGUGCCCGUCUUGACUUCUUUGGGAGGGGCGCCUGGACAGGCGGUCUAUGGCGUUCCUCACACACAGGCUUCACCGGUCGAGCUAGGGGUGAGGUGCGGGAAGGAGUCCCGUGCUGUAACCCCUCCACGGGAUGCCACCAUCCUGAGUGGCGAGCUAGGGGUGAGAUGCGGGAAGGAGUACCGUGUCGCAAUCCCUCCACAAGAGUGCGCUCUGCAGGUUGGCCAGGGGACGAGCUGUUCAGCAAGGGGGAACGGGCCUAGUGAGCAGGCGUGUCCACGGUCCUCUUCCCCUUGA
rnacentral:rRNA from 1 species